rnacentral:rRNA from 1 species
GAUUGGAGCGGCCGAUAUCAGAUUAGCUAGUUGGUGGGGUAAAGGCCCACCAAGGCGACGAUCUGUAGCUGGUCUGAGAGGACGACCAGCCACACUGGAACUGAGACACGGUCCAGACUCCUACGGGAGGCAGCAGUGGGGAAUUUUGGACAAUGGGCGCAAGCCUGAUCCAGCAAUGCCGCGUGCAGGAUGAAGGCCUUCGGGUUGUAAACUGCUUUUGUACGGAACGAAACGGU